rnacentral:rRNA from 1 species
CGGCUGGCGGCGUGCCUAUACAUGCAAGUCGAGCGGACUUAAAAAGCUUGCUUUUUAAGUUAGCGGCGGACGGGUGAGUAACACGUGGGCAACCUGCCUGUAAGACUGGGAUAACUUCGGGAAACCGGAGCUAAUACCGGAUAAUCCUUUCCUACUCAUGUAGGAAAGCUGAAAGACGGUUUACGCUGUCACUUACAGAUGGGCCCGCGGCGCAUUAGCUAGUUGGUGAGGUAACGGCUCACCAAGGCGACGAUGCGUAGCCGACCUGAGAGGGUGAUCGGCCACACUGGGACUGAGACACGGCCCAGACUCCUACGGGAGGCAGCAGUAGGGAAUCUUCCGCAAUGGACGAAAGUCUGACGGAGCAACGCCGCGUGAGUGAUGAAGGUUUUCGGAUCGUAAAACUCUGUUGUUAGGGAAGAACAAGUACGAGAGUAACUGCUCGUACCUUGACGGUACCUAACCAGAAAGCCACGGCUAACUACGUGCCAGCAGCCGCGGUAAUACGUAGGUGGCAAGCGUUGUCCGGAAUUAUUGGGCGUAAAGCGCGCGCAGGCGGUCCUUUAAGUCUGAUGUGAAAGCCCACGGCUCAACCGUGGAGGGUCAUUGGAAACUGGGGGACUUGAGUGCAGAAGAGAAGAGUGGAAUUCCACGUGUAGCGGUGAAAUGCGUAGAGAUGUGGAGGAACACCAGUGGCGAAGGCGACUCUUUGGUCUGUAACUGACGCUGAGGCGCGAAAGCGUGGGGAGCAAACAGGAUUAGAUACCCUGGUAGUCCACGCCGUAAACGAUGAGUGCUAAGUGUUAGAGGGUUUCCGCCCUUUAGUGCUGCAGCAAACGCAUUAAGCACUCCGCCUGGGGAGUACGGCCGCAAGGCUGAAACUCAAAGGAAUUGACGGGGGCCCGCACAAGCCGUGGAGCAUGUGGUUUAAUUCGAAGCAACGCGAAGAACCUUACCAGGUCUUGACAUCUCCUGACAUCCUAGAGAUAGGACGUUCCCCUUCGGGGGACAGGAUGACAGGUGGUGCAUGGUUGUCGUCACUCGUGUCUUGAGAUGUUGGGUUAAGUC